rnacentral:tRNA from 1 species
UGGGGCGUCGCCAAGCGGUAAGGCACCGGUUUUUUUUAUUGUCAUUCCCAGGUUCGAAUCCUGGCGCCCCAGCCA